UUUAUUUAUGGCAUUUGAAGGAUCUCUAGGUAAUGUUAAUAUAGAGGCGUUUUUAUAUGCGAUAAGCUGACCUAUUUCGGUUAGAUUCCUCUAGGAAAACCAUUAAUUUAUUUUAUUUAUAACCUUGCGAAUUGAAACAUCUUAGUAGCAAGUUAAAAAAUUAAACAAGGAGUUGAAAGUAGUGGCGAGCGAAAUCAAUUUAAGCUUAAGAAUUUUUUGCAAAAAAUUUUAAAACCAUAGAAGGUAUUUAAGUCCUGUAUUUUGUAAAAAUUUCUUAUACAUUAGUAAGUUGAGACAUGUUAUCUUUACUGAAAAUAGGAGAACCAUCUUCUAAAGCUUAACUUAACAUUAACCGAUAGCGCACAAGUACUGUAAAGGAAAGAGUGAAAUCAAACUGCUUUUUAUGCUAGAGUAGUUUAAAGCUAUUAUAGCGUGCUUUUUGUAUUACGAACUGAAGAGUUAAUAAAAGUAGCCUAGCUUAAGUGGAGACAUGUAGGCGUACGUGAAAGCAAAAAUUCAAUAUUAUGUUACUUUUAUUAUACCCGAAACCAAGUGAUCUAUUUAUGAACUAGCGGAUGUAUAUUUGCAUUCGGCUGAACCCGUAUCUGUUGCAAAAGAUUGGGAUGAUUUGUGAAUAGGAGUGAAAGGCUAAUCAAACUUGGAAAUAGCUGGUUCUUUGCGAAAUCUAUUUAGGUAGAGUGUUAAAUACUAAAAAAGGGGGUAGAGCUCUGUUUAGGGAAGGGGGUGUCACUUACUAACUCUUUGCAAACUACGAAUACCUUUUUUAAGAAUAUUUAAUAAACAAACAAUAGGCGAUAAGGUCUUUUGUUGAGAGGGAAACAGCCCAGAUUUAUCGCUAAGGCCUUUAAUGUUUUUUAAGUGCAAAAAGAGUUUAUAUCCAAUGACAGUUAAUAUGUAGGCUUGGAAGCAGCCAUCAUUGAAAGAAAGCGUAGUAGCUCAUUAACUAAGGGUAUAGGUUCUGAAAAUGUAGGAGACUAAAAAAACAGCCGAAGCGGAAACAGAGCUUUUAAGCUCUGGGUAGCAAAGCUUUUUGUAUAAGUUAGCAUACGUUGUAAAAUGUGUGUGUUUAUCAAUUUGAUUAUUUCAGUAUGAGUAACGGAAAACACUCUGUGAAUGAGUGUCGUCUGAAUCCUCCAGGUUUCCUAAACAAAUGUUGUUCAGUUUAGGGUUAUUCGGUCCCUAAUUAAUUAGCUGAAAAGUUAUUAUGAUGGGUUUUAUAUAUCUAAUGAAAAAAAGUAAUCUAGAAAAUUAUAUAAGGUUUACCGUACUUAAACCGACACAGGUGAGGUAGCAUAGUUAUGCUAAGACGUAGAGAUAUUUAUUUAAAAGGAACUCGGCAAAUUGGCCUCGUAACUUCGGGAGAAGAGGCGCUUUCUUGAUUAAAGAGAAAGUUGCAAAAAAACGGAAAUAGCAACUGUUUACUAAAAACACAGGUCUUUGCAAACACGUAAGUGGUAGUAUAAGGACUGACUCCUGCCCGGUGCUGUUAUUUUAACUUUUAUAGUAUUUGCUAUAAAACUAAGAACCAGUAAACGGCGGCAGUAACUCUGACUGUCCUAAGGUAGCGAAAUUCAUUGGUCACUAAUUAUGAUCCCGCAUGAAUGGAGUAAUGACUGUUUCACUGUCUCUUAAAUAAUCUCUGUGAAAUUUAUUUGCUCGUGAAGAAGCGAGCGUAUUCUAAAAAGACGGAAAGACCCCGUGAACUUUUACUGUAUCUUUAUAUUGUUCAAGGUUUUCUAUUGUACACUGGAAGUGGUAGUUUAAUUACAUAAGUGAAAGUCCACUCUUUAGUCUACCUAGACUCAUUUUUUUAAUAAAAGACCGUAUAAGGAAGGCAGUUUAUCUGGGGCGGAUUCCUUUUAAAAAGUAACAAAGGAGUGCAAAGGCAAGUUAUACUUUAAAAAAGUAAGCAGUGUAACGGCAAUAAAAACUUGCUUGACUGUAAGAGGUACAUCUCGCACAGGGGUUUAAAAGCCGGCCGUAGUGAUCCGGUGUUUUUUAAUGGACAAGACAUCGCUUAACGAAUAAAAAGUACUCCGGGGAUAACAGGCUAAUGUUCUUCAAGAGCUCAUAUCUAAAAGAACGUUUGGCACCUCGAUGUCGACUCAACGCAACCUGAAGCUGAAGCCGGUUUCAAGGGUUUGGCUGUUCGCCGAUUAAAGCGUUACGUGAGUUGGGUUUAGAACGCUGUGAAGCAGUUUGGUCCCUAUCUUUUAGAAUUUAUUGAAAGUAAACAAAAUGUUUAACUAGUACGAGAGGACCGUUAAGCACUAUCCUCUUAUGAACCUGUUGUCUAAUGGCAUCGCAGGGUAGUAACGAUAGUUCAGAAUAAUUGCUGAAAGCAUCUAAAGCAAGAAAUCUUUUUGUUAUCUUUCUAAACAAAGUGAAAGAACAUCUCUUUGAUAGGUCACGUGUGUUUUUAGCUUAGUGAUACUAAUUUUAUUUUUUAUUUUAUUAUAUAGUUUACA
rnacentral:rRNA from 1 species